AACGAACGCUGGCGGCGGGCCUAAUACAUGCAAGUCGAACGAGUGGCGGACGGGUGAGUAAUGUCUGGGAAACUGCCUGAUGGAGGGGGAUAACUACUGGAACCGGUAGUUAAUACCGCAUAACACCAGUUCUGCCCCGAUGGGAUUAGCUACUGGGUGGGGAAACGGCUCACCGAGGCGACGAUCCCUAGCUGGUCCGAGAGGAUGACCAGCCACACGUGAACUGAGACACGGUCCAGACGCCUACGGGAGGCAGCAGUGGGGAAUAUUGCACAAUGGACGCAAGCCUGAAGGAGCAAUGCCGCGUGGAUGAAGAAGGCUUUCGGGUGGUAAAGUACUUUCAUCAGGGAAGCGGUACCCGCAGAAGAAGCACCGGCUAACUACGUGCCAGCAGCCGCGGUAAUUC
rnacentral:rRNA from 1 species